AGUGAACGCUGGCGGUAGGCCUAACACAUGCAAGUCGAACGGCAGCACAGUAAGAGCUUGCUCUUACGGGUGGCGGGUGGCGGACGGGUGAGGAAUACAUCGGAAUCUACUUUUUCGUGGGGGAUAACGUAGGGAAACUUACGCUAAUACCGCAUACGACCUACGGGUGGAAGCAGGGGAUCUUCGGACCUUGCGCGAUUGAAUGAGCCGAUGUCGGAUUAGCUAGUUGGCGGGGUAAAGGCCCACCAAGGCGACGAUCCGUAGCUGGUCUGAGAGGAUGAUCAGCCACACUGGAACUGAGACACGGUCCAGACUCCUACGGGAGGCAGCAGUGGGGAAUAUUGGACAAUGGGCGCAAGCCUGAUCCAGCCAUACCGCGUGGGUGAAGAAGGCCUUCGGGUUGUAAAGCCCUUUUGUUGGGAAAGAAAAGCAGCAGGUUAAUACCCCGCUGUUCUGACGGUACCCAAAGAAUAAGCACCGGCUAACUUCGUG
rnacentral:rRNA from 1 species